rnacentral:rRNA from 1 species
AGAACGAACGCUGGCGGCAGGCUUAACACAUGCAAGUCGAACGCUCGUAGCAAUACGGGAGUGGCAGACGGGUGAGUAACACGUGGGAACAUCCCCCUCGGUUCGGAAUAACUCAGGGAAACUUGAGCUAAUACCGGAUACGUCCGAGAGGAGAAAGAUUUAUCGCCGAGGGAUUGGCCCGCGUCUGAUUAGCUAGUUGGUGAGGUAACGGCCCACCAAGGCGACGAUCAGUAGCUGGUCUGAGAGGAUGACCAGCCACACUGGGACUGAGACACGGCCCAGACUCCUACGGGAGGCAGCAGUGGGGAAUCUUGGACAAUGGGCGCAAGCCUGAUCCAGCCAUGCCGCGUGAGUGAUGAAGGCCUUAGGGUUGUAAAGCUCUUUCGACGGGACGAUAAUGACGGUACCCGUAGAAGAACGCCCGGCUAACUUCGUGCCAGCAGCCGC